rnacentral:rRNA from 1 species
CCUACGGGAGGCAGCAGUGGGGAAUAUUGCACAAUGGGCGCAAGCUGAUGCAGCCAUGCCGCGUGUAUGAUGAAGGCCUUCGGGUUGUAAAGUACUUUCAGCGGGGAGGAAGGGAGUAAAGUUAAUACCUUUUCUCAUUGACGUUACCCGCAGAAGAAGCACCGGCUAACUCCGUGCCAGCAGCCGCGGUAAUACGGUGGGUGCAAGCGUUAAUUGGAAUUACUUGGCGUAAAGCGCACGCAGGCGGUUUGUUAAGUCAGAUGUGAAAUCCCCUUGCUCAACCUUGGAACUGCAUCUGAUACUUGCAAGCUUGAGUCUUGNAGAGGGGGGUAGAAUUCCAUGUGUAGCGGUGAAAUGCGAGAGAUCUUGUGGAUACCUGUGGCGAGGCGGCCCCCUGGACGAAGACUGAUGCUCAGGUGCGAAGCGUGGUGAGCAAACAUGAUAGANACCCUUGAGCCACGCCGAAACGAUGGCGACUUGGAGGUUGUGCCCUUGAUGCGUGGCUACCCGGAGCAACGCGUUAAGUCGACCGCCUGGGGAGUACCGCCGAACUUAAAACUCAAAUGAAUUGACGGGGGCCAGCACAAGCGGUGGAGCAUGUGGUUUAAUUCGAUGCAACGCGAAGAACCUUACCUGGUCUUGACAUCCACAGAACUUUCNAGAGAUGGAUUGGUGCCUUCGGGAACUGUGAGACAGGUGCUGCAUGGCUGUCGUCAGCUCGUGUUGUGAAAUGUUGGGUUAAGUCCCGCANCGAGCGCAACCCUUAUCUUUUGUUGCCAGCGGUCCGGCAGGGANCUCAAAGGAGACUGCAAGUGAUAAACUGGAGGAAGGUGGGGAUGNCAUCAAGUCAUCAUGGCCCUUACGACCAGGGCUACACACGUGCUACAAUGGCGCAUACAAAGAGAAGCGACCUCGCGAGAGCAAGCGGACAUCAUAAAGUGCGUCGUAGUCCGGAUUGGAGUCUGCAACUCGACUCCAUGAAGUCGGAAUCGCUAGUAAUCGUGGAUCAGAAUGCCACGGUGAAUACGUUCCCGGGCCUUGUACACACCGCCCGUCACACCAUGGGAAUUGGUUUG